AUGCAUAGGUAUAUACGUACAUAACAUCAUCAAGCCUCUGAACGCAUCUCAUCAUAUCAUCUCGGUCACUGUGGACGCAUCAACGUAUACCAGCUGAUCUGGUAAUGGUACAUAUAUUGUACCAUUACCAGUCCCCAUAUCCCAUAUACAUAUAAUGUACGUGUAUAUAACGCCAUCCGAUCAUGCGUCAUUGUAUAUGUAUAAAUGAAUGCAAUGCAUAAUGAAGUAAGUCAAUAGAAUCUUUCGGAAUGUCAAAAGAUC
rnacentral:lncRNA from 1 species